rnacentral:misc_RNA from 1 species
UGAGAAUAUCCUAUGCAGAACUCUACAAAGCCACAAAAGGAUUCUCUUUGGACAACAUAAUUGGUAUUGGUAGUUAUGGCACUGUCUAUAAAGGUAUUCUUGAGCAACUUGGGAUGGAAGUGGCAGUGAAAGUUCUAAACCUGCAGCAAAGAGGAGCUUCAAAUAGUUUCCUGUCAGAAUGUUUAGCUCUUGGAAGCAUUAGGCACAGAAAUCUACUGAAGCUACUGAGUGUUUGCUCUAGCAUGGACUUUGAAGGCAAUGAUUUCAAA